rnacentral:rRNA from 1 species
CGACGGCAGGUAGCGUUGUAUGUGUUAGCAUGGAAUAAUGAAAUAUGACUUUAGUCCUAUUUUCGUUGGUUUAGGUACUUCAGUAAUGAUGAAUAGAAACGGUUAGGGGCAUUUGUAUUUGGUCGCUAGAGGUGAAAUUCUUGGAUUGACCGAAGACAAACUACUGCGAAAGCAUUUGACCCGGGACGUUUUCAUUGAUCAAGGUCUAAAGUUAAGGGAUCGAAGACGAUUAGAUACCGUCGUAGUCUUAACCACAAACUAUGCCGACUAGAGAUUGGGCGUGUUUAUUAUGACUCGCUCAGCAUCUUAGCGAAAGUAAAGUUUUUGGGUUCUGGGGGGAGUAUGGGACGCAAGGCUGAAACUUAAAGGAAUUGACGGA